UCCUGGUUAACCCAGGCAGUCUCACUAGAGUCCCCGCCUUGACGCGUUGGCAACUAAUGAUAAGGGUUGCGCUCGUUGCUGGACUUAACCAAACACCUCACGGCACGAGCUGACGACAGCCAUGCAGCACCUAUAAAGGAGUCCUUGCGGACGUAAACAUCUCUGCUUACUUCCCCUUCAUUUCGAGCCUGGGUAAGGUUCUUCGCGUUGCAUCGAAUUAAACCACAUGCUCCACUGCUUGUGCGGGCCCCCGUCAAUUCUUUUGAGUUUCACCCUUGCGAGCGUACUCCCCAGGCGGUAUACUUAUCGCGUUAGCUUCGACACAGUCAGGGUUGAGCCCAACUACAUCAAGUAUACAUCGUUUACGGCAAGGACUAC
rnacentral:misc_RNA from 1 species